rnacentral:rRNA from 1 species
UUCGAGUGGCGGACGGGUGAGUAACGCGUGGGUAACCUGCCUUACACAGGGGGAUAACACCUGGAAACAGGUGCUAAUACCGCAUAAGCGCACAGGGCCGCAUGGCCCGGUGUGAAAAACUCCGGUGGUGUAAGAUGGACCCGCGUCUGAUUAGCUUGUUGGCGGGGUAGAGGCCCACCAAGGCGACGAUCAGUAGCCGGCCUGAGAGGGUGGACGGCCGCAUUGGGACUGAGACACGGCCCAAACUCCUACGGAAGGCAGCAG